UACGGGGGGGUGCGAGCGUUGUCCGGAAUCACUGGGCGUAAAGGGCGCGUAGGUGGCUUUGUAAGUUUGCGGUGAAAGCCCGGGGCUCAACCCCGGGUCUGCCGUGGAUACGGGCAGGCUGGAGGCAGGCAGGGGAGAACGGAAUUCCCGGUGUAGCGGUGAAAUGCGCAGAUAUCGGGAGGAACACCGGUGGCGAAGGCGGUUCUCUGGGCCUGUACUGACGCUGAGGAGCGAAAGCGUGGGGAGCGAACAGG
rnacentral:rRNA from 1 species